rfam:Gossypium hirsutum cultivar TM-1 unplaced genomic scaffold scaffold2940.1, whole genome shotgun sequence
AACCCAUGGUGAGGGCACCUUCUCAAUAAAUCCUUAUACCUCUCCCAUGCAUCAUAUAGAGUCUCUAAAUCCAUUUGCACCAAGGAAGAGAUAUCAUUCCUCAACUU